UCCAUACACACACUAAAGCACUACUACACCAUGGCCCUAGACACACUUCUUCUCCGAGAGCUGGCUGUAGCUUCUGUCCUCUUUUUCAUCACUCACAUCUUCAUUCGUUCUCUUUUAAGAAAAUCCUCUCGUCCUCUGCCACCAGGGCCCAAAGGGUGGCCAGUCAUCGGUGCCCUUCCCCUCCUAGGGACCAUGCCCCAUGUCACAUUAGCCAAAAUGGCAAAAAAAUAUGGUCCCGUCAUGUACCUGAAAAUGGGUACCUGUAAUAUGGUGGUAGCGUCCACUCCUGAUGCAGCUCGAGCGUUCCUCAAAACCCUAGACCUCAAUUUCUCAAACCGUCCUCCAAAUGCAGGGGCUACCCACUUAGCCUAUAACGCUCAAGACAUGGUUUUUGCAGAUUAUGGUCCCAGGUGGAAACUAUUACGCAAGUUAAGUAACCUUCAUAUGCUAGGUGGUAAAGCUCUGGAGGACUGGGGUCAGGUUAGGUCUGCUGAGCUAGGUCAUAUGCUUCGAGCCAUGUGUGAAGCUAGCCAAAGAAAUGAACCAGUGGUGGUACCGGAAAUGUUAACCUAUGCCAUGGCUAAUAUGAUUGGCCAAAUAAUUCUUAGCCGUCGGGUGUUUGUGACCAAAGGUUCAGAGUCUAACGAGUUCAAGGACAUGGUGGUAGAGCUAAUGACCUCUGCAGGAUUCUUCAACAUUGGUGACUUCAU
rnacentral:misc_RNA from 1 species